GACGAACGCUGGCGGCGUGCUUAACACAUGCAAGUCGAACGGAAAGGCCCUGCUUUUGUGGGGUGCUCGAGUGGCGAACGGGUGAGUAACACGUGAGUAACCUGCCCUUGACUUUGGGAUAACUUCAGGAAACUGGGGCUAAUACCGGAUAGGAGCUCCUGCUGCAUGGUGGGGGUUGGAAAGUUUCGGCGGUUGGGGAUGGACUCGCGGCUUAUCAGCUUGUUGGUGGGGUAGUGGCUUACCCAGGCUUCGACGGGUAGCCGGCCUGAGAGGGUGACCGGCCACAUUGGGACUGAGAUACGGACCAGACUCGUACGGGAGGCAGCGGUGGAGAGUAUUGCACAGUGGGCGGAAGCCUGAUGCGACAACGCCGCGUGCGGGAUGACGGCCUUCGGGGUGUAAACCGCUUUCGCCUGUGACGAAGCGUGAGUGACGGUAAUGAGUAAAGAAGCACCGGCUAACUACGUG
rnacentral:rRNA from 1 species